rnacentral:lncRNA from 1 species
UGAAGAAUCUGCCUUGGAACAGCUGCUUUCCAAUAGAUUGUUAUUACCUGAAAGAGUUAUUAUAAUUUUUGCCGUUUCACAGAUGUAACAAAAAGUCUUAAUGAUGCUAAAAACCACAUCCAAGAUUAUACAGUUAACAAGUGAUAAAACUAAGACCACUGAGACAGAUACCAAGAUAAGCCUCAAGCCAUUCACAUUUCUGUAGGUAUUGCAGAUAAAUUUUUUUUGCUAUAUUAAAUUGUAAAUAUAUUGUAUUUCAGGACAAUUUCUUAUUCUUGUCUAUGUCUAUUCUAUUCUUGAUUUUACUUUUAGCUGAUCGCAAUCCAGGGAGGCAAAUCAUUAUGAGAAUUUUAAUUGUGUAGACUGGGGUGCUACUAAUUUAUUCCUGUCUAGAGAGGAUUCAGGAGAUUUUUCUUUAACACAGUGUGGAUCAUAAAAUGGAAUAAACUGUAUAUUAUAUAUGUAUAUAUGUUAUCUAUGAGAUGUAUAUCAGUAAUAUAGGUGUGUGAUCUAUAUCAGGUAUAGGCAUAGAUGUAGGUAUUUGUGUGUGCACCCAGUAUAUAUAUAUACCCAGUGUGUGUAUAUAUAUAUACACACACACACAUAUUAAUCAUGUUAAUAUUUAAGUCUCAGUCACUUAAAUAAGCAGUAAGACAAAUCACAUCACUCCCUUGAUAAAAACCCUCCAAUAGUUUCCCAUCACAGUUACAAGAAAUCCAAAGCAUUUAACAUGGGCUAAAAGUCCUACAUGAUCUGGCCCCUGAAUGCCACUACAAAUGCAUCUCCUAUUUUCCGUCCCCUAAAUCUCCAGCCAUACUGCUGUCCCUCAUGCUGCGGCUUUAACAUGCCCAGUGCGCUUCUGCCUUAGGGGCUUUUCCACUUGCUGUUCUCUCUGCCUUGGGACCUGUACCCAAUUUUCAACAUGGUUCACUCUCACAAUUCAUUUUGUCUUUACAUUUAUUGAGUAUGUGCACCAGGUACUCUUCUAAACACUUUAAAUGAAUUAUGUUAUGAAAGCAAGUUAUCUGUUUGGUGACAUGGGUUAGGAAGAGUGGCAUGGUUUAAGAACACAAGUGCAAAGUAAAAACAUCGUUUAAUGCUAUCACAAUAUCAAAGCAACUAAUGAACAGAACUGGAAAAUAAAUUUAGAUGUGUUAUUUUGUUAGCUUCCCAUUUCCUCGUACACACACAUUGCUCAAACAGUGUUGUUCGGAAUAAUGUGUACUGACUCUUACAGUAGAUUGAAAAAGACACAACAAGGUCAGACAUUUUCAAAGGGAAAGGAAGUUCUGGGGAAGAGAAGUCAAUUAUAUAAACCAUUGGUGAUUAUUAUUUAGAGGUAAAUAAAUGUCAGUCCCAUGAUAUACCUCUGGGAAAAGGAUGCUGCAAUAUGAAAUAAUACAUUUGCUGGCUGUGAUAUCAUGAGCUCAGAUAAAACAAAUGCCUACGUAUAGCUCCUAAUGUACAGCACAAUGAGCCAUAAAACAGUCAAAUAAGGGAUUUUACUUUGAAAACAAAGUCACCAUUAAUUUGGAAGGCCAUAUGUGUAUCCAGGAUGGGAUCUUGAACUGUAAUAAAACGUUCUAUUUUUUGACAUCACCUUCCAUUCAAUGUUCCCAACUUCUAUGGCCAUAUCCAGGAAUCUUGGGGAAAGUAGAGUCCUUAGGGGAUCCUUGGAAUUAAAAACUCACCUUAAAGCCAGUUCCCCCUGUUUUGUGGAUCUUACUUUUAGCUGAUUGCAAUCCAGGGAGACAAAUCAUUAUGAUAAUUUUAAUUGCGUAUACUGGGGUGAUACUAAUUUAUUCCCAUCUAGAUAGGGUUCUGGAGAUUUUUCCCUAAUGAGCUAUGCACAAGCUUUUUAACCAGACAAAUGGGGGUUUGAAUCCUGUCUAGGCAGUGUUAUUAUCAGAAAGUCGUC